UCCUCCAUAUUCUCCGUUUUUCUAAAUUGAAACCUGCUUCUUUAUAUAUUUUUUUCAAGAAAAUUGUGUUUAAUCAUUAUAUCUAUUACUUAAUCUAUCCUUUUAAAUAUAUCAUGGUGUAUCUCCGAUGGUGAUUUAAUGGUGGUAUAUACGACAGCAACAAUAAUGGAGGAGAUGUUGGCGACUUUGACGAAGACGAUGGCGGAGACAUAGUCGACGGCAAAGACAACGUAGAAGACUCAUCCCCAACCAUAAACCAGACUGUAAGAAUCAAGAAAUUCAUCCACCAUGGCGCUUUCACAUGGGACAUCGCCAAAGUUAAGGUUCCUCCACAAUAGCACCUUCACAUGGAACACCGCCAAAAAAUUCAUCCCCAUCGCCAUGUCUUCUACCUAACAAUUUUUACACACAGUCCUCCUUUUCUGAGUUGGACAGAACUGAAAGGUCAUAAGCUUCACGGUGUUGUCGUUUCUGUCCGAAGGUUCUUACGGUUUUAGAAAGAUUUCAGUCGUUUGUAAGUUGCUUUGGCCAUUUGUAAAAUAUUCUGUGAAACAAUUUCGGAGUUAAUGGCAACUUUAAUUGUGAAAAUGAUGAAUUUAGUUUGAUGAUAUAUGCUUCACCUUACGGCUAGUUUGUGCUUUUUGUGGAUGAGUUUUGUUUUGUUACUAAUUAUUAUAAUCUUUUCUUUUACAUGAUGUUAGAUCUUGGCUUGAAAAGAUAAACUUUGGGAGCUACAUCUAGAUUUUUCAAAAUAAAAAGUUUUUUAGAGAGGUAAUGGUAGUAGUCUUUGUGGUAUCCUUUGUUCUUUAUUUAUUUAUUUUUUCUUUAUUAGAUUUGAGAAUUGGUUAUGUCUUUGGUUAGAUUGAGCUUGAGAAUCCAAUUGAGAACAUUGGAGCUAUGAUAGUGAGACAAGCUGCUUUCAAACUAAUGACAUGGUUGGUGAUGAAACAAUGACUUUGGUUGUUCUUGUGCUAGGUCUCAUGCUGAAAGUGUAACAAUUUGCAAUUGGUGUACACAUUGUUCUUUUAAAACGAUGUACAUGUCGAUGUUUUGUAUCGGUGUGCACUUUGUUUUUUUAAACAGAUGUACAUGUCGAGCCAAGAUCGUGUACACGUGGCCAUUCAAUCAUCGUGUACAUUAUGUACAUAUAAAUGUUAAUAAAUGUUAUCAACUAUUGCAACGC
rnacentral:lncRNA from 1 species